CAGGAUCAAAAUUGAUUGAAUGACUCAUUCAUUCAACAAAUAUUUACUGAAUACUUAUUAAAUGCUGGACAUCAAGAAGAAAAGAGCUUCCAAGUGGGGAUUCUUUAUCUCCUGAAGUUUUGGGGCGCAAGGUUUAUAUCUCCCUAGGGAGAUAAAAGCAAAGUGUGAGACUUCCCUGGUGGCGCAGUUGUUAAGAAUCCGCCUGCCAAUGAAGGGGACACGUGUUCGAGCCCUGGUCUGGGAAAAUCCCACAUGCUGUGGAGCAACGAAGCCUAUGCACCACAACUACUGACCCUGCACUCUAGAGCCCACGAGCCACAACUACUGAGCCCACGUGCCUAGAACCCGUGCUCCACAACGAGAAGCCAUUGCAAUGAGAAGCCUGUGCACCACAACUAAGAGUAGCCCCCGCUCGCUGCAACCUGAGAAAGCCUGCGCGCAGCAACGAAGAC